UACGAAGGGGGCUAGCGUUGCUCGGAAUUACUGGGCGUAAAGGGUGCGCAGGCGGCCAAGUGUGUUAGGCGUGAAAGCCCGGGGCUUAACCCCGGAAUUGCACCUAAAACUACAUGGCUAGAGCAUUGGAGAGGGUAGCGGAAUUCACGGUGUAGCAGUGAAAUGCGUAGAUAUCGUGAGGAACACCAGAGGCGAAGGCGGCUACCUGGACAAUUGCUGACGCUCAGGCACGAAAGCGUGGGGAGCAAAAGGG
rnacentral:rRNA from 1 species